UACGUAGGUGGCAAGCGUUAUCCGGAAUUAUUGGGCGUAAAGAGCGCGCAGGUGGUUGAUUAAGUCUGAUGUGAAAGCCCACGGCUUAACCGUGGAGGGUCAUUGGAAACUGGUCGACUUGAGUGCAGAAGAGGGAAGUGGAAUUCCACGUGUAGCGGUGAAAUGCGUAGAGAUAUGGAGGAACACCAGUGGCGAAGGCGGCUUCCUGGUCUGUAACUGACACUGAGGCGCGAAAGCGUGGGGAGCAAACAGGAUUAGAUACCCG
rnacentral:rRNA from 1 species